GUUUGAUCCUGGCUCAGGACGAACGCUGGCGGCGUGCCUAAUGCAUGCAAGUCGACCGCAGCGGCCUUGGCCGGCUGCGUGGCGAACGGCUGAGGAACACGUGGGUCACUACCCCCGGAGUGGGGGAUACCCCGUCGAAAGACGGGACAAUCCCGCAUACGCUCUACGGAGGAAAGCCGCAAGGCGCUCCGGGACGGGCCUGCGGCCCAUCAGGUAGUUGGUGUGGUAACGGCGCACCAAGCCAAUGACGGGUCCCCGGUCUGAGAGGACGACCGGGCAGACUGGGACUGCGACACGGCCCAGACUCCUACGGGAGGCAGCAGCAAGGAAUUUUCCCCAAUGGGCGCAAGCCUGAGGGAGCAACGCCGCGUGGAGGACGACGGCCUUCGGGUUGUAAACUCCUUUCGGGCGGGACGAUGAUGACGGUACCGCCAGAAGCAGCCCCGGCUAACUCUGUGCCAGCAGCCGCGGUAAGACAGAGGGGGCAAGCGUUGUCCGGAGUUACUGGGCGUAAAGGGCGCGCAGGCGGUGGGCUGCGUCGGCGCUGAAAGCGCCCCGCUUAACGGGGCGAGGCGCGCCGAUACGAGUCCACUCGAGGCAAGCAGAGGGUGGCGGAAUUCCGGGUGGAGCGGUGAAAUGCGUAGAGAUCCGGAGGAACGCCGGUGGGGAAGCCGGCCACCUGGCUUGACCUGACGCUGCGGCGCGACAGCGUGGGGAGCAAACCGGAUUAGAUACCCGGGUAGUCCACGCCGUAAACGAUGCCGGCUCGGCGUCUGGCGCACGUUGGUGUGCUGGGUGCCUUAGCUCACGCGGUAAGCCGGCCGCCUGGGGACUACGAGCGCAAGCUUAAAACUCAAAGGAAUUGACGGGGGCCCGCACAAGCAGCGGAAGCGUGUGGUUUAAUUCGACGCAACACGAAGAACCUUACCCGGACUUGACAUGGUGCUGCAUCCCCUGGAAACAGGGGCGCCUUCGAGGGUGCACCACAGGUGCUGCAUGGCUGUCGUCAGCUCGUGUCGUGAAGAUGUUGGGUUCAGUCCCGCACGAGCGCACCCGUGUCGGUAGUUACAGGUGUCUACCGAGACUGCCGCCUGACCCGCCGAAGAAAGGCCGGAUGACGUCAAGUCACCUGGCCCUUACGUCCGGGGCG
rnacentral:rRNA from 1 species